AAGAUGCUUUACUGACUGACCAUGGCUAGGAAGGGAAUGACCACGUACAACAUUGCUGAGGCUAUGAAGAAGUGAUGGUUUUGUCAAACUGGAGUUUAGAAUUCCAUGGAGCAAGGAAUUCCUUCAAGCUCCCAGAACUCGAGAAGUAGAACUUCUGGAUAAGAGGAAGGGUAACAACAAACUUCAGACAGAGAAGGAAGGUUUGGGAUUUAAAUCCAGCGAGCGCUGCUGGAUCUGCCACAUCCUGCAAUGAGACACGUUCUCUGGGCUGCACCCCGAGCGUCUUCAACCCGACAAGCCAGGACAGCUUGGGCUGUGCAGGCUGGUCAUUCCCGCACAGCUGGGAAUGACACUGGAACACGCAGCCUGGAUGAGUGCGGGGGUCUCCAAGUGUGUGUGUGAGCAGAGAUCAGGGCAGUUAGUGCCCUAAUGCCGAUGCUGAGUCAUCUCAAACCAAAUGCUUUGGAUUGCAAUCAAAUUGGUAGCCAUCAUGGAUUAUGUAUCACCAGUAACAGGCAAAGACCAAGUAGAAGUGGAAGAGCCAUGUAUCUGAAGAACAUCUUUAUGCUGUUUAUAAAGCAUCUCUGAAGGGUUUCAACACUGAAAUAGCUUUGAUUGUUUAAUAAAUGCAGUUAAUUUAUUAAAUGAACA
rnacentral:lncRNA from 14 species